AGCGAACGUUAGCGGCGGGCCUAACACAUGCAAGUCGAACGCGAAAGGUCUUCGGACUGAGUAGAGUGGCGCACGGGUGAGUAACACGUAGGUAAUCUACCCUUUGGCGGGGGAUAACGUUCCGAAAGGAGCGCUAAUACCGCAUAAGACCACGGAGUCUCCGGACGCUGUGGGAAAAGGUGGCCUCUUCUUGAAAGCUACCACCGAAGGAUGAGCCUGCGUCCCAUCAGCUAGUUGGUAAGGUAAUGGCUUACCAAGGCGAAGACGGGUAGCUGGUUUGAGAGAAUGAUCAGCCACACUGGCACUGGAACACGGGCCAGACUCCUACGGGAGGCAGCAGUGAGGAAUAUUGGGCAAUGGGCGAAAGCCUGACCCAGCCACGCCGCGUGAGUGAUGAAGCCCUCGGGUCGUAAAGCUCUGUGGAGAGGGACGAAAACCCUGGUUUCAAAUAGGCUCCAGGCUUGACGGUACCUCUUUAGCAAGCACCGGCUAACUCUGUGCCAGCAG
rnacentral:rRNA from 1 species